rnacentral:rRNA from 1 species
UUAAAUGGCCGCGGUAUUUUGACCGUGCUAAGGUAGCAUAAUCAUUAGUUUUUUAAUUGGAAGCUAGAAUGAAGGGUUGGAUGAAAAAAAAACUGUCUUAAAUUAAAUUGUUUAGAAUUUUAUUUUUAAGUUAAAAAGCUUAAAUAUUAUUAAAAGACGAGAAGACCCUUUAGAGUUUUAUAAAUUUUUAGAGUUUCAUAUUUGGAAUUUAAUUUAAACUUUUGUUAAUUUAUUUAGUUGGGGUGAUUAAAAAAUUAAUUUAACUUUUUUUAUAUCUUUUUAUAAAUUUAUAUAUAUUUGAUCCAAAAUUUUUGAUUAUAAGAUAAAAUUACCUUAGGGAUAACAGCGUAAUUUUAUUAGAGAGUU